UACGUAGGGGGCAAGCGUUGUCCGGAAUUAUUGGGCGUAAAGAGCGCGUAGGCGGUCCGGUAAGUCAGCUGUGAAAGUCAAGGGCUCAACCCUUGAAAGCCGGUUGAUACUGUCGGGCUAGAGUCCGGAAGAGGCGAGUGGAAUUCCCGGUGUAGCGGUGAAAUGCGCAGAUAUCGGGAGGAACACCAAUGGCGAAGGCAGCUCGCUGGGACGGUACUGACGCUGAGGCGCGAAAGCGUGGGGAGCGAACAGG
rnacentral:rRNA from 1 species